CAACAGAACCCUGGGUGCUACCUGGAUUUGGCUUGUUUUCAUGGAAUUUACUAUCAGUCUCAUUAUUAUGUGUUACUGUUCUAUAACUGUGUCAUUAAAUUUGUAUGUCCUCAGUUUAAAAUAAUUGCUGACUGAAUCUGUGCAUUUUCAUUCUUAGGAUGGAGAUGCAAUGCCAUGCACACACAAAUGUACAUGUUAGAGGGGGCCUCGAGGUGGAACAUGAGCCGGGCAAAAGAAGCUGUAUCUGUGGUGGGGGCCUCAACCCUCAGGACAUUUGAUGUCUGCACAAUGUCUCAUUUAAACAGCAUGAGCCAACGGGUCCUUGGUCGGGCUUUGAUGCCAGAAUUUACCCCUCCAGGAAAACCCACUGGGGAGCGCAUUGCAGUGGAGUACUUGUUGGCCCAGUCCAAUAGAGGCGACCAGUUGAUUGCACACCACAAUGACAUGCCUGAAGUCCCCCCAGAGGAGCCCGAAGAGGAUAGUGAAAUUGACACGACUGUGUGCCAUGCAGCUGACCUUAGGGCUGAUGACUCUGACCCUCCAGUAGCUGUCGUGCAGGCCCAGGUGACAAGUCAGGUGGGUGACACUGAACCCAAACUCCCCAGAUGAGGAGGUCACUGAGGAAGAGGAGGAUGACACUGCAAGUCCUAGCACAUCAAGCCAGGUAAUAUUGCUAUCCUGUACUAUUUUUUACUUUUUAAAAAAAUGUAUCUGGUACAGUGCAAAACGCCUAUUGUCACCAAUGUGUAAAGUUAAAAUAUAUGCAUGUACAAUGCAAAAUAAUUAUUACAACACCGUAUAUAUUUAUUGGACUGUGUUUGGCUUUUUCUCAAUUUCCAGAGUACACAGUGUGAUUCCAGAGGUGUCUUGGGCUGGGAGGCAGUUGAUGCCCUGGCAGCCUACUUGGUUGGCCUAAACCGAACGAUCACUGCCUUGUCAUCACAAGAGGAGGCCAACAUAGUCCAGCUGUACAUGGCUCUGCAUGCCAUGGACAAGGUACCAUCAAAAUAUAGCCAGAGGGUUAAGAAGAAGGCUUUGACAGGACCUUGGAGAGCAUCCAGGAAGCAGAGUGGCUCUGCUCCAGGACAGCAGGCAGCAGAGAGGUAAUUUGACUAUUUGG
rnacentral:lncRNA from 1 species